GACGAACGCUGGCGGCGUGCUUAACACAUGCAAGUCGAACGAUGAAGCCUAGCUUGCUAGGUGGAUUAGUGGCGAACGGGUGAGUAAUACGUGAGUGACCUACCUUUGACUCUGGGAUAAGCCUGGGAAACUGGGUCUAAUACCGGAUACGACCAAUCUCCGCAUGGGGUGUUGGUGGAAAGCGUUAUGGAGUGGUUUUAGAUGGGCUCACGGCCUAUCAGCUUGUUGGUGAGGUAAUGGCUUACCAAGGCGACGACGGGUAGCCGGCCUGAGAGGGUGACCGGCCACACUGGGACUGAGACGCGGCCCAGACUCCUACGGGAGGCAGCAGUGGGGAAUAUUGCACAAUGGGCGCAAGCCUGAUGCAGCGACGCCGCGUGGGGGAUGACGGCCUUCGGGUUGUAAACCUCUGUUAGCAUCGAAGAAGCGAAAGUGACGGUAGGUGCAGAGAAAGCGCCGGCUAACUACGUG
rnacentral:rRNA from 1 species